ACUGGUGGACCGGUUGUAGCGCCAGCUGCAGUGCCGGGUAGCUAAGUACGGAAGGGAUAACCGCUGAAAGCAUCUAAGUGGGAAACUCGCCUCAAAACUAGUUCUUCCUAUAGAGCCGUGGUAGACUACCACGUUGAUAGGCUGGAUGUGGAAGCGCAGCAAUGCGUGUAGCUGACCAGUACUAAUAGCUCAAUUGGCUUGAUUUA
rnacentral:rRNA from 1 species